AGGCGCGUAGCUCAGGGGGAGAGCGCUACCUUGACGCGGUAGAAGUCGGCGGUUCGAUCCCGCCCGCGCCUA
rfam:Dissulfuribacter thermophilus strain S69 contig00011, whole genome shotgun sequence.